GCAGAGACUAACCCUCGUACCUUUUGCAUCAUGAUUCAGCAAGUUAACUCAAGCAAAGAGAACUCUAGUUUGCACCCCCGAAACUUGACGAGCUACUCCGAGACAGCCAACUAUGGGCCAACCCAUCUCUGUGGCAAAAGAGUGGGAAGAUCUCUGGGUAGAGGCAAAAAACCUACCGAGCCAAGUUAUAGCUGGUUGCCCAAUAAAUGAAUAAAAGUUCAGCCCCGCCUAGCCCAACUCAGACCGUUUUACAAAAAAGACAAAGAGCUAAUCCCGGGAGUUAGUCAGAGGAGGUACAGCUCCCCUGACCCAGGAUACAACCUUUCUAGGAGGCAAAAGAAUAUUACCGACAAGGCCCUGGGCCUCAGUGGGCCUGAAAGCAGCCAUCUGACCCGAAAGCGUUAAAGCUCCGGCCCUAAGAAUAAGCCUAUUAUUUAAUUUUUAUCUCUGUCCCCCUACACCUUAUUGGGCCCCUCCAUGCGUUCAUGGAAGAGAUUAUGCUGGAACGAGUAACAAGAAGAAUGAACUUCUCCACGCACAAGUGUAAGUCAAAUUGGACUAACCACCGACAAUCAACGAACCCAAUAAAAGAGGGCCCUACACACCCGCCACCUCUGGCCAAGAAAACCAUGUUCCCCAGGAUCGUUACCCCAACACAGGAGUGCUAGAAUAGGGAAAGACUUAAAGAAAAAAAAGGAACUCGGCAAACCCAAACCCCGCCUGUUUACCAAAAACAUCGCCUCUUGCAUCACAAAGUAUAAGAGGUCCCACCU
rnacentral:rRNA from 1 species